rnacentral:tRNA from 1 species
GUUUAAUUAGUUUAUUAAAAUUAUAAAUUGUGGAUUUAUAGAUGAAAACAAUUCAUUAAACA